GAGUAUUGAAAGUUGCAUGAACUCCUAUUUUUCAAAUUACUUAUUACCAUCAAUCGAAAGAGUAAAGCUUAAAUUAGGCUGUGACCAUGCAACUCAGAUCCUUAUUUCCAACAUUGAAGAAACGUUUAAACAUAUCGAUAAAGAACUCCCCUCUUUACUUACAGAAUUUAUAUUAACCGUGGCAACUAUAGAAAAAAUUAACUCAAUUGCACCUUCUGUUUUGGAUAACGUCAACUUUAACCAAAAUUCUAAAGAAUUAACAACUGUAAACUUUCAGUAUAGAAAAAGCAACGAUAAUAAAAUCCUGAAUGACUUUUUAGCGAGCAGCGCUGUUUUGACGGAAGAAAUUAAUAACAUCUUACGCCUUCAAUUUAAAGAUGAUUGCAAUAUUUUUAAAAAAAUCAAAACUUUAGCGGAGGCAAUCAAACAGUACCUUUCGGAACUCGGGCUAAUUAUAAAUUUAUGUAAAAACUCAAGCAUCGAGACUGAUUUCUAUAUACAAUUUACUAAACUGGGAGAGGAAAUCAUCUCUGUAAGUCUAAAGUUAAGCGGCCAUCUUAAAAAUUAUUUUUACUCAACGAUGGAAUCAAAAGAAGC